AAGAACCAAUUUUAUAUUGGAGGUAGAUUUUUUAAUACAACAUGGCCAAGGUUGGGAGACCAAAGGAAGUCUACCUAAGUUGCUAUCGCGACGAGGGUGGGCAGUGGCGUGCCAAUUGGGCUAUGAACGUAGAAUGUCCCCUCGCGGGGGAUUUUCCCUAGGCGAUGAAUAGUCAACUCAGAACUGAUACAGACAAGGGGAAUCCAACUGUUUAAUUAAAACAAAGCAUUGCGAUGGUCCUUGCGGAUGCUGACGUAAUGUGAUUUCUGCCCAGUUCUCUGAAUGUCAAAGUGAAGAAAUUCAACCAAGCGCGGGUAAAUGAUGGGAGUAACUAUGACUCUAUUAAGGUAGCCAAAUGCCUCGUCAUCUAAUUAGUGAUGCGCAUGAAUGGAUUAAUGAGAUUCCCACUAUCCCUAUCUACUAUCUAGAAAAACCACAACCAAGGGAAUGGGCUUGGCAGAAACAGUGGGGAAAGAAGACCAUGUUGAGCUUGACUCUAGUCCGACUUUGUGAAAUGACUUGAGGGGUGUAGAAUAAGUGGGAGCCAUUUUUGGCGCAAGUGAAAUACCACUACUUUUAACGUUAUUUUACUUAUUCUGUGGGGCAGAGACAGGGCAUUGCCCCUGUUUUUGGCCUUAAGACAUGUUUCAAUGGGUCGAUCCAGGCGGAAGACAUUUUCAGGUGGGGAGUUUGGCUGGGGCGUCACAUCUGUUAAAAGAUAACGCAGGUGUCCUAAGACGAGCUCAACGAGAACAUAAAUCUCGUGUGGAACAAAAGGGUAAAAGCUAAUUUGAUUUUGAUUUUCAGUACGAAUACAAACCGUGAAAGUGUGGCCUAUCGAUCCUUUAGACUUUCAGAAUUUGAAGCUAGAGGUGUCAGAAAAGUUACCACAGGGAUAACUGGCUUGUGGCAACCAAGCGUUCAUAGCGACGUUGCGUUUUGAUCCUUCGAUUUCGACUCUUCCUAUCAUUGUGAAGCAAAAUUCACCAAGUGUUGGAUUGUUCACCCACCAAUAGCGAACGUGUGCUGGGUUUAGACCAUCAUGAGAUAGGUUAGUUUUACCCUACUGAUGAACCAUGUCACAAAAUUAAUUCACCUUAGUAUGAGAGGAACCGUUGAUUCACACAAUUGGUCAUCGCGCUUGGUUGAAAAGCCAGUGGCACAAAGCUACCGUGUGUCGGAAUAUGACUGAAUGCCUCUAAGUCAAAAUGCAUGCUAGAAGCAAUGCCUUUCACUCCUUGACUGUAUCUUGACCCACAGUAGGGGUGUCUCUUUGGCACCCCCAGAGGCCCGUGUCACUUGCGAACCUCAGCCGGGAAGCAUCUCGGUUGGGGCAGCUUUGAAGUUCAAUUUCAAACGGUCGUUGAGAAAAAUCCUUUGUAGAUGAAUUAAAUACAUGACGGGGUAUUGUAAGUGGUAGAGUGGCCUUGCUGCCACGAUCCACUGAGAUUCAGCCCUUUGUCACCUUGAUUC
rnacentral:ncRNA from 1 species